CCCGGGGCGGGGCCGAGUGCGGCCUGUGAGGCCCCGUCGCUCGUAGAGCCGGGCCCGGCCGCACAUGCCCGCGGCUCUCCGGCGGCUUUUCGUGCAGGUCGCUGGGGCGCUGCGCCGCGCGGCGGGACCUCGCCUCCCCCAGGGCCGCGUCUUGCUGCCGAGCCGCCCCUGGGCCCGCCCGCGUCCCUGGCGCCCGGGCCUGCCAACGAGCAGCCCCCCGCGCGCCGGCCGGCCCGCCCCGCGCGCUUGGCUGUGCUCGGCGCCCGAGGCCAUGGCGGAGCAGCGGUACUGCGUGGACUACGCCAAGCGCGGCACGGCCGGUUGCAAGAAGUGCAAGGAGAAGAUCCUGAAGGGCAUGGUCCGCAUUGGGAAGGUUGUGCCCAACCCCUUCACCGAGUCGGGCGGCGACAUGAAGGAGUGGUACCACGUGAAGUGCAUAUUCGAGAAGCUGGAGCGGGCUCGUGCCACCACCAAGAAGAUAGAGGACAUCACAGACCUCGAGGGGUGGGAGGAGCUGCAAGAUGCCGAGAAAGACCUCAUCAACCAGCUUAUCUCGGAGGCCACAUCCAAGUCUGCAAGCACACCUAAGAAGAAGGCAACAGUCCAGGCUAAGCUGUCCCCCAGUGGGCAGAUAACCUCCCCCAAGAAAGAUCCAGGAGCUGUUCCUAAUCCAUCUCCAAAGAAAUUCUCUGGUUUCACAGCUAAACCAGGCAGUUCUGGGGACACCCCUGCCAAUUCUUCCCACAAGUCUACUCUGUCUUCAAAGAAGUGUGACCCAAAGCACAAGGAUUGCUUGUUGCGGGAAUUCAGAAAAUUGUGCGCCAUGGUUGCUGACAAGCCCAGCUAUAAUGUGAAAACACAGAUCAUCCAGGACUUUCUGCAGAAAGGGACUGGAGGAGAUGGCUUUCAUGGUGACUUGUACCUGACCAUUAAGCUGCUGUUGCCGGGUGUCAUUAAAAUUAUUUACAACUUGAAUGACAAGCAGAUUGUAAAGCUGUUCAGCAGAAUUUUCAACUGCAGCCAGGAUGAAAUGGUCCGGGACCUGGAGCAGGGAGAUGUUUCAGAAACAGUCCGCAUCUUUUUUGAGGAGAGCAGGUCCUGUCCUCCAGCUGCCAAAAGUCUCCUCACAAUCCAAGAAGUGGAUGAGUUCCUAAUCGGACUGUCAAAGCUUACAAAGGAGGAUGACCAGCAAACUCUGCUUCAGGGUAUCACUCGCAGGUGCACGGGCAAUGACCUGAAAUGCAUCAUCAGGCUUAUAAAGCACGAUUUGAAAAUGAAUGCUGGUGCAAAGCAUGUGUUAGAUGCUUUGGAUCCAAAUGCCUAUGAGGCAUUCAAAGCAUCACGCAAUCUUCAGGAUGUUGUGGAGCGUGUGCUAAGAAACCAGCAGGAGGCAGAGAAGCAGCCGGGUCUGAAGCGAACCCUCAGUGUGCAGGCCUCUCUGAUGACCCCUGUUCAGCCUAUGCUGGCUGAAGCCUGCAAGUCAAUAGAAUAUGCCAUGAAGAAGUGUCCGAAUGGGAUGUACGCAGAGAUCAAGUAUGAUGGGGAGCGAGUGCAGGUCCACAAGAAUGGAGAUCAUUUCAGCUACUUCAGCCGAAGCCUCAAGCCAGUCCUUCCUCACAAAGUGGCCCAUUUUAAGGACUUCAUCCCCAGAGCUUUUCCUGGUGGACACAGUAUGAUCUUGGAUUCAGAAGUUCUUCUCAUUGACAACAAAACAGGCAAACCACUCCCUUUUGGGACCCUUGGAGUCCACAAGAAAGCUGCUUUCCAAGAUGCCAAUGUCUGCUUGUUUGUAUUUGAUUGUGUUUACUUCAAUGAUGUCAGCCUGAUGGACAGGCCUUUGUGUGAGCGUCGUAAGUUUCUCCAUGAUAACAUGGUUGAAAUCCCCAGCCGGAUCCUCUUCUCCGAGAUGAAGCAUGUCACAAGAGCUUCAGAUCUGGCAGAUAUGAUCAGUAGAGUCAUCCGUGAGGGACUGGAAGGACUGGUGCUGAAGGAUAUAAAGAGCACCUAUGAACCAGGAAAACGUCACUGGCUGAAAGUGAAAAAGGACUAUCUAAAUGAAGGUGCCAUGGCUGAUACAGCAGACCUGGUGGUUCUGGGAGCUUUCUACGGACAAGGCAGUAAAGGUGGAAUGAUGUCAAUUUUCCUAAUGGGCUGCUAUGAUCCCAAGACUGAAAAAUGGUGUACGGUGACAAAGUGCUCUGGUGGGCAUGAUGAUGCCACCUUAGCUCGCCUGCAGAAUGAGCUGGACAUGGUGAAGAUCAGCAAGGAUCCCAAUAAAAUUCCAAGCUGGCUAAAAAUAAAUAAGCUCUACUAUCCAGAUUUCAUUGUUCCAGACCCAAAGAAGGCCCCAGUGUGGGAGAUAACAGGUGCGGAGUUCUCUAAAGCAGAAGCCCACACGGCAGAUGGGAUUUCCAUUCGUUUCCCUCGUUGUACCCGGAUCCGAGAUGACAAAGACUGGAAGACAGCCACCAAUCUCCCUCAACUCAAGGAGCUGUACCAGCUCUCCAAAGAGAAGUCUGAUUUCAGUGUUGUUGCUGGAGAGGAAGAAGUAUCUACAGCUGGUAGCAGUGGAGAGAAUAAUGGAAAUUCAGGGUCUUCCACACCACACAAUACUCCUAAAACUCCCCCAAGGAAGUCGCCUGCAAAAACCAAGAAGUCUGAAGGUAACAAUUUAGUCUAUAUGACCCCCAAAAAGAAAGUGGAGGAUAAACGAGGGGAGAAGCGGAAAGCAGCCGAGCUGGAUGACAAUGGGAAGAAGAAUAGACACAUGGGAGAGAAGCAGCAGGCAAGCUGUGCACCUGGGAAGGUGCUAACAGAUCAGAAGUGCAUGCAAAAGCUAAAGACUCCCCCAGCCACCCUUACCAGCAGCAUGCUAGCUAUUCAUUAAAGACUGAAACAAAAUUCAUUGCACUAGCUCAGCUCUCUGAUGCAAAAGAGCCAGCUGUUCAUUGCUUUAUGUCUGGAUUGGUGGAAAAUGACUUAAUUGAGAGUCUACAGGUCUAUACAGUUGUAAGCCAUGUCAGAGCAUUUAGGAGUCUGGCUCUGUUCCAGAUGUUAGCAUUUUUUGCACGUGUAGCACUUUUUGUGCCUUGGCAGUUCAGCAUUGGUAUUUGCCCACUAGAUUGGUUUUAAGCCAGGCUUAGAAAUGGGAGUGAAAGGGAAAAGCAGUAGCAGCAACCCAAGCUCUACAUUUCAAAGGGCAGGCAGGUGCCUCUGCCUCAUUCAUGUUUCUGCAGCAGGCUGCAGGGAGUGGCUGAGCACAAGGCUUUCCAUUGAGUGCAAACCCGCAGUCCCUCUCUGGUGUCCUGACUCUACCAGUGGCAUGUGCCAGUUCUUUUGAAGGCAGAUCUCUUAUUACUGCACCUAUGUAGUGCUGUGUAUAGAGGUGAUGGACAGUUGCAGAGGGAAGGAGGAUUGGCUGAUGUCCUGUAUUGGAACUUGUUGGGCUGUUGUAGUUUGUUACCCAAUGUAACUGUAUUGUUUGAACAAACAAUGAAUCCAGGGGAGGAAGGAGGACACGGUAAUACGUGUGGUUAUUUAGGAGAACAGUGUGCUCAAUGAGUUGGUUCCUGGUCAUUUGAGAGUCCUGUAGAGUUUGGCUUUUACAGAAUCUGACCUUCAGUCUAACCAUUCACUGAGUGGCUAAUGUCUGUUGGUUACUGUGCCUAAGGUGGGUCCAAAAGGGAUUUAAGGAAGUGGAAGCUUGACAGAUCAGUCUGGGAAGGCAUUCCAAGGAGAGGGGAUAGUAUGGAAGAAAACUGGCACGCUAAUGGGAAAAUAACAGCUGGCAUUGCUGGCAGAGGGCAAGGGUAGUGUGAUGGGAGAUGAAGAGAGUGAGAAAUGAGCUAUUAACAGCUCUAAAAGCGACAAGGAGCUUUAAUGUGACACGAUGAAAAAUCAGGAACAAGAUCUGGAUGUCUCUGUGCUACUGGCAAUAAAUCCUUCAAAGUUCCAAACAUGUCAGAUGUAGCAAACUGAGCCAGUUCCAUUCAGCUCAUGAGGGGAGGUUUUGAACUUCCAGUGAAAAGAUGAUAUUGUGGAGAAACGGCAAUGCUAUAGCUGUGCUGUGUAGGAGUUGUCAGGGGAACACAUUGCUGAAAAAAUAGUGGGAGCAGCUCUGGGGUUUGGGCUUCAGGCUGUUUGUCCUGCGAGGCCUAGAGUAGUUUAUCUGCUGUAAACAGCAAGUACCAGGUGCAGGGCUGCCCGAUUACUUGAUUUAACUGAGAAAAGUCAACUCCCUCUGGGCAUCUUAACAGAAGCUGUUUUGCUUGCUGAGCCAUGUGACCACAAGGCCUAGAGGUAGUAGUUAGGGCUAAUACAAUGGCCCUUUCCUACCUGGCUAAGAAAACAGUUCAGUGGCAGCCUCUGACUUUCACAAGAGGAAGUGUGUGUUGUCCCCUGGCUGAUGGAUCAACUGAAGCCCAAAGACUGAGUAAUUUACAAACAUCAGAUAUUGCUGGACAUAUUUACAGGGGUGAGGCUGUACCUACCACCCUCCGUGGAGAACUUCAGCAAAAUCCGGCGGUACUUUGUGG